GCGUGAGUGAAGAAGGCCUUAGGGUUGUAAAGCUCUUUCGCCGGUGAAGAUAAUGACGGUAGCCGGAGAAGAAGCCCCGGCCAACUCCGUGCCAGCAGCCGCGGUAAUACGGAGGGGGCUAGCGUUGUUCGGAAUUACUGGGCGUAAAGCGCGCGUAGGCGGUCCGUUAAGUUGGAUGUGAAAGCCCAGGGCUCAACUCUGGAUGUGCAUUCAAUACUGGCGGGCUCGAGUCCUGGAGAGGAGAGUGGAAUUCCCAGUGUAGAGGUGAAAUUCGU
rnacentral:rRNA from 1 species